UAGAAAAGUAGGAAUUGAACCUA
rnacentral:tRNA from 1 species